UGUUUCAGGUUACAUCAUCACGUCGUACGUACGCUCUUGCUGCUGCUGUGCUAUGCUGCUAGCUAGGUGUCUAGUUUCUGUACCGCUGCUGGUCUCCUGUAGUUGCCUGAGGGGUACCGGUCUGUAGCGGUCUGUAGCCGUUCAGGACUUCCCUGGGUGGUCGUUAACAUUCUCAAGACCGUCUGAGAGUCCGUGUCGGGCCAUCGCCAUGGCUCUGCAAGGCCCGGAGGAGCUGGGGGAGCAGGUCGAGGAGCCGGAGGAUCUGGACGACCAGGACGCUAGUAGCAUCUCCCCGGCCGAGGAGAUCACUCUCCCACCCGGGGCCGGAGGAGACGAGGACCCGGAGGAGGCUCUCCUGCUGCCCUGGGACCGCUUCUCCACCUGGCUGCACUGCAUCUGUGUGGUGGGCUUCGACCUGGAGCUGGGACAGGCGGUGGAGGUUAUUUAUCCUCAUCAUUCCAAGCUGUCAGAGAAAGAGAAAACAAGCAUCUGCUACCUUUCCUUUCCUGACUCCAAUUCAGGUUGUCUGGGCGACACCCAGUUCUGCUUCCGCUUCCGUCAGGGAUCGAACCGGAAGUCGUCGCUCGGCUGCUUCCUAGAAAACACAGACCGUGAUGCACCGCCCUGUCUAAAGAGAGACCAGGGACAUUACUACGGCUACGUGUACUUCCGUCAGGUGCGAGACAAAUCCCUGAAGAGAGGAUACUUCCAGAAGUCUCUGGUCUUGAUCAGCAAGCUGCCCUACGUGACCUUCUUCCACUCCCUGCUGAAGAUCAUGGCUCCAGAAUACUUUGAGAAACAGGAGCCGUGUCUCGAGGCGGCCUGUAACGACAUAGAUCGCUGGCCCACGCCUCAUCCUGGACGAAUCCUCACGCUGCCCAUAAUGGGCGUCGUCAUCAAGGUUCGCAUCCCGACCUGUUACGACAAACCAGGAACCUCUCAGCUGGUCCAGUCUGCCCAGACUGACAGUCAGGUGUCCAUCGUGCUCCCAACCAUUCAUGAAGUCGACCUCUUCAGAUGUUUCUACCCAGUCUUCUUCCACAUCCAGAUGCUCUGGGAGUUGGUGUUAUUAGGUGAAGCACUUGUGGUCAUGGCGCCAUCGCCUGCAGAGUCGUCAGACACCGUGCUCGCAUUGGUCAGCUGUAUCUCUCCGCUGCGUUACUGCAGCGACUUCCGGCCGUACUUCACCAUCCACGACAGCGAGUUUAAGGAGUACACGACCCGGACGCAGGCGCCGCCAUCAGUCAUUCUGGGAGUGACCAAUCCUUUCUUUGCUAAAACACUGCAGCACUGGCCGCACAUCAUCCGCAUCGGAGACAUGAAGCAAGCAGGAGAGAUGGCCAAGCAGAUGAAGGUCAAGAAACUGAAAAACCUCAAAACUCUGGACUCUAAGCCCGGUGUGUAUACUGCGUACAAGCCGUACCUGAACAAAGAUGAAGAAAUCAUCAAACAGCUUCAGAAGGGUGUUCAGCAGAAGAGACCAUCGCCGGCCCAGAAUGCAAUUCUUCGACGCUACUUCUUAGAGCUGACACAGAGCUUCAUCAUUCCUCUGGAGCGAUACGUAGCCAGCCUCAUGCCUCUCCAGAAGUCCAUCUGUCCCUGGAAAGCUCCUCCUCAGCUGCGACCGUUCAUCCAGCAGGACUUCAUGAAGACGCUGGAGAAAGCUGGACCUCAGCUCACAUCCAGACUGAAAGGAGACUGGAUAGGACUCUACAGGCAUUUCCUCAAGUCUCCAAACUUUGACGGCUGGUUCCGAAACAGGAGGCGAGAGAUGACCCAGAAGCUGGAGGCUCUGCACCUGGAGGCGCUGUGUGAGGAGGUGAGGAGGGGGGGAGGGAGGGAGGGUCUCUGCAUUCCCCUCAAAUACCAACACGUAAUUCAGAACCUUACGGCCAAAUUCCACCAGAUCUGUGUCCAGUCCUUCCCGGCACCAGAUCUGACAGGUUUCUAUUCUAGUCAGUGUGUUAACUCAGGGAUCCGCUCCGUUGCGUUCCGGCUGCGUCUCGGAUCCGGUCCUCCAGAUCAGAUACGCAAGACUUCUAUUUUUGCCGGAUGCCGGAGCACGACACAUCAAUCUCAACAGAGCAGAUGGAGCGGGACAGGAAGUCAGGCACCAAAACAAAAUGAAAACAUCCGGUUAAUUUUCAGAAUAAAACACUCUGUGUUAUCACCAGAUCGUAUUUCACUUAACUACAACAACAAACCGUCAUGAUGAGGGGAGCCAGGCCUGGAGUCAACAGGUCAGAGGUUUUCAGAGGACCAGAAAGACAACAUGGAUGAGGAGAGGAGGAGGAGAAACCUUGAUUCAGUGAUUACUGCAGGGAAACCUCGGUCACAUGACUCCAGCUGUCCGGUGGUCCUGCUCCGUGCUCCGUUCCAAAAAAGCAGCGGAUCGGAGACAGACCGGACACGGAUCUGGUGGAAGUUAAAAGUCUUAGCAGCAGUUCUAUGUAUUUAUGUGUUACUUAAGAACUACUGUUUCCCCUGUUUGUGUUCGUCUGUUUGUAGGAUCUGCAGCAGAGGGUCCAGAAGCACUCGGAGGUGGAGACGGUUGAUCUGGUGCUGAAGCUGAAAGAUAAACUGAAUCAGGCGGAGCGGGAGCAGCUUCCGGUGCGUCCGGGGACUGUGGCCAAACUGAGGGCCCACAUUGACGCUGUCAUUCUGUCAUUACCGGAGGACCUGCAGGGGAUCCUCCACAAACCCUCCACACCCUGACCUGUAGCCCCUGUGGUUUGCAACUCCAGCCCCGCGUUGAGCUUGUUUUAAAGUUUGGGGGACUGGAGGAGCCUCUGUUUGUUUCAAAGACCCUCCUCUGGUAUGUGGAAAGCACAUUUUUGUUUACUUAAUCCAGUUUUAUUUACUUCUUCUGCAUCUCUGGCGGCCUCUAAGUCUCAGUGAUCGAGAGGUUUUGAAACAACCAACAGGACGCAGCUGGAGCUUCACAGAAUGAACCCAAGUGAUCGUUUUUCAGGAGCCGAAGCAGCCGGCUGUGAGCUCAAAGAGGAAGCUGUCCAUCACAGAGACAUCAGCGAGUACAGGACGGAGCGUGUGAUGCACCCGAGACUCGUCACACCUUUCUCCUCCAGCACGCGGCUCAGUGACAGAGGUUUAUGUCCUGAACUCCUCAGAACCUCAGUGUUUGUACUUCCUGAUGUUUUUAAUUUUUACUUUUUUAACUUGAAGAUGAAAUGCUGCAGUGAGACGGAGCAGACUUUGGAGUUUUUCAUCCAUUUUUAAUUAAGAAAUGUUUUUAAAGAAGUGCACUUCAUCAUUCAGUGGACCGGAGUGCCCUUCACACACAUUCAGACACACACUUUUUUAUGCAAACAAACUGAACCGAGCAGAGCCAAGCAGUGCUUUAUAUGUAGAUUAGACUAAUAUGUAAAAACACACACACAGCAUUAAGCACCAGCGACCCGUAAUAACUGACUGUAGAGGAGCGUCCUCAGGAGCCAAUCACAUCUCUGCAUCCAGGUCACAUGAUCAUAAAAGUCUGAGAUAAUAUCCAGUCUUGUCCUGAAACGUUCAUGAAUCUGGAUGUGGGUCGUUAUUAUCUUUGUGUCUCUCUGUUGACUGAACUCGUGUCAUUCUUGUCAUGUGAAAACCGAAAUUUGAUUUAACUGACUGAUUGGAAAAUCUUUUGCCUGCUGAUCUUAAAAAGUAUAGAGCCAAGUCAGCCAAGGGGGGAAAGGUGAACAGUUAGAGAUUUAAAAAAGCAUAACAGAACUUUUUUAUUUUGAAUAUAUGAGGUAAGGAGACUUUGUUUUAAAAACUUAGACUGAUUUGAUAUGAGGUGUGAUCCGGCUGUCUCAAGCGUUGAAGCAUUCGGUUCCAUUCUGCUUUGAUGUGUUCCAUUCUGUUCUGCUUUGAUGUGUUCCGCUCCAUUCUGCUUCUGUGUUCCAUUCUGCUUCUAUGUGUUCUGUUCUGCUUUGAUGUGUUCUAUUCUGCUUCUGUGUUCCGUUCUGCUUUGAUGUUUUCCGUUCUAUUCUUCCUUGAUGUGUUCCGUUCUGUUCUUCCUUGAUGUGUUCCACUCCAUUCUGCUUUGAUGUGUUCCAUUCUGUUCUGCUUCUAUGUGUUUCAUUCUGGUCUUCCUUGAUGUGUUCCACUCUAUUCUGCUUUGAUGUGUUCCAUUCUGCUUUGAUGUGUCCCGCUCUGUUCUGCUUUGAUGUGUCCCGCUCUGUUCUGCUUUGAUGUGUUCCGCUCUGUUCUGCUUUGAUGUGUUCCAUUCUAUUCUGCUUUGAUGUGUUCCAAUCUAUUCUGCCUCUGUGUUCCAUUCUGUUCUUCCUUGAUGUGUUCCAUUCUAUUCUGCUUUGAUGUGUUCCGCUCUAUUCUGCUUCUAUGUGUUCCACUCUAUUCUGCCUCUAUGUGCUCCCCUCAUUCUGCUUCUAUGUGUUCCGCUCCAUUCUGCUUUGAUGUGUUCCACUCUACUUUGAUGUGUUCCGCUCUAUUCUGCUUUGAUGUGUUUUGUUCUGUUCUUCUUUGAUGUGUUCUGUUCUGUUCUGUUCUUCUUUGAUGUGUUCUGUUCUGCUUUGAUGUUUUCCACUCCAUUCCAUUCUAACGUCUUUAACACAGUGUCACCAGGCAGAGGGGGAUUGUACCCGACUCCUCUCUGUGGGUUGAUUUAAUAUCAGGUGUGAUCAGGUCGUCUCUGCCCUCGCUCUUGUCUGUUGAGAAUUAUUCACUACUGUUAUGGGGGUUUGACCGAUCAGAAUCAAGUAUUUAACACAGCUAUGCAGAUAGUAAGAAAGCUGGGUAGUAGCAUACUUAAUAACAACCUGUUCGAUCUCAAGAAUAUAAUUUGAAAGUUGUGAAAAAGUGUAACCACAAUGUCCCAGAUUAAGGUAGAAUCUUCACCUGGAACUCAAAGUCCGUUCUUUUGAGAACUUUGAACCACGAGCUGUCUAUAAAGAUGGACAAUGCGCCUGAAUCCCCUUCUGUUUACACAAAGCGAAGCCAAAAAGGAAUAAUUCUUAAUAAUCAUGAGAUAAAAGCCUCGUUAUGUUUUUGAGUCGGUUAAAAUUUAGACAUAUUAAAAGAAACUGACUCACCAUCAGAAAACAGAAGGUUUACAGUGUUUUUUUAACUUCCUGUCAUUUGUGAUGUGACGAUCCUUUUUCUUACUUGGCUUCAGAAAGUUUUUUUCUCCAGCUACUUAGAUAAACAAGCUCAGUGCAUCUUGCUUUCUUUGCACUUUGGAAGGUUUUCACUGGGCAGCAGUGACACAAGUUGACACAACUUUGUUUCAAAGUUAAGGAUUUCAGCGACUUGACCUGGCGAGGUCAGCGGCUCAAAGUCAUCAAAUUUAAUUUAUUUCAGUUUAUUAAGUUGAUUUUGACGUAAAUCUUUAAGCUUAUAUUACAAAGUGUGAUUUUCUUUUUGCUGUGCACUAGUUCUUCAUAGGACGAUGAUGUUUCAAAAGGGGGAAGGCUGAUUUUAAAAUAGAACAUGGUUUACCACUAACAAAUGUAAACGUCACAGCGGCUCCUUCACGCUCAACUGACGUGUUGAAAGAAAGACUUCAGAUAUGAUGUGACGUUAGAUUGUUGUCUCACAGGAUGUUUGACUGUGUUUUUGUUUCUAUGAAUGUGAACCAAUGUUGGGUGGCCUCUUGUUGCUGCAGUAACGCUGCGUGUAAUAACGGUCACAGCAGGUUUCAUCAUGUUUUAUUUAGCCUUAAAGAAGCUAACAAUGAGUUUCACAAAUUAAGGAGAGAAGAUUUAUUUGGGCUUAAUCCUAUAAAAGAUUAUGAUGUUGUAAUAUCAGCUUUGACGUGCUCAUAAAAUGUCCAAAUUUAACAUAAAGAGUCAGGUAUGGAAGCCUGUUCCUGACAGUGGAAAAAGGAAGCUAUGACAGCAAGUUAUGUUCAUACUUUGACUUAAAUAGUAUUAAUUGAAACUGUGUGUUCGAUUUUGACAAUUCAGAUUCAGCGGGACAGGAAGUCAGGCACCAAAACAAAAUGAAAACAUCUGGUUAAUUUUCAGAAUAAAAGACUCUGUGUUAUCACCAGAUCGUAUUUCACUUAACUACAACAACAAACCGUAAUGAUGAGCGGAUGAUAGGAUUGUGCUUCCAUACCUUUGAAAUAGAAAUGUAUUGUGUGAGAAAAGUUCAAGGGUAAACAAACGCUAGAGAAACUUAAUGGUGACGUUUCUGAGAAAGUAAAAAAAAAACACUAGUGUUGGAGCAUAUUCUUCAAAGAUGGAGGGAUGAUUUGUUGUUUGGAGUUUUACAGGAAUGAGAGCAGAACCAUAGAAGAAUUUGUCCCUAUCUGGAUAAAAGAAGCUUAAAACUUCAAAUCUUUCCUUUCCUUACACUAAACUCAAUUUCCUUCUGACAGAAAGUUCCUCUGACGGGUUCUUUAGAAGUAUGACGUGUGUUUGUAGUGUUUUCUGAAUGAAUAAAGAUGAACAAACCCAACAUAGUCAUCUCAAAGAAAGGGAAAGUUAGCAUACCUGGAGCGAUCAGAGCAACACUUCAAGCUGUCUUAAAUGUGCUCUAAUCCGCUCACACUGUAGAUUCAUUUCACGUCAUUUUCAGGGUCUUCAUAAACUUUUUAAUAUCAGUUCUUUAAAGAAAAAAAACAAUAAGGAGGAAAGCAAGAUUCAGAAUGAUAACAUAGUCUUCUGGCAGCUGAUUGAAAUCAUCAAAUUAAAGGGCAAUAACACAAAUAUGACACAUGAACACGUUUGUCUGUAAAAUGAGAAAAGACGUGAUUUAUGAACAUUCCUGGAAACCUAAGCGUGUAAGAACGUACAGAAACAUGUACUGACAGCAAUAACAGCCCGACAGGUCACUUCAGUUAUUCAGGUGUUAUUGCUUUUUAUGUAAGUGUGCA